rnacentral:lncRNA from 1 species
UCGAUUUGUGCCUGAUGUAUGAUUGUUUCUGUUGCGAGGAGCAAGUGAAAAUACAACUUGAUUUUCAAAGCCGACUCUCGUAAAUAGGCGGACAAAAGGAUGUUAUAUGAUGGGAGUUGCACAUAGAACAAGUAGAUGUGCCUAGGUGGACACACCUUUAAUUUCACAAUAACAAACAAAUCACUGGAUUAUAGUACAUCUAAAACUUUAAUUUCUUUUCAUUGUGGUCUCAAAACAAGCGCAAACAAGUCAGUCAUGGCGCCGAUACUGCGCAACACCAGUUGCCUGUUGGUCUUGGCGCUGAAGCUUUAAUUUGCUCAUUGUGAUCUCAAGAAUUGUGCCAACAAGUUGGAUGCGGCGCCAAUUCUGCACCGGCACGAGCUGCAUGUAGGUGUUGGUGCUGAAGCUGAAUGAAAACGAUAAAUGCAAGUGUUUCUUGUUCCCUGCAAGCAAGGUAAACUGCAUCAAAGGUUUUUCAGAUAGAUAGAAGACAGGGAAAGCACAAAGAGCAUCAGAGAGAUCCUACCGUUUCUCUUGUAUCUCCUUUGGAAAUGCCUUCGGAGAUCACUUGGCCAGCACUACUAGGCAACAAGCUAUCGCCAUUAUUACUGUUGCUAGCUGUUGUAACUGGUCUCACCACCGCUACCUGGAGAAAUCAACCAACCAAAAGUACCUUUUAGCAAACACAACAUCCAUAUAUGGAUAAAUACUUUGGGAUAGCUAGAUUUGUACAGUCACAUGGAGCAGCAAUAAAAAUCAUGUACAAUCAUGCAUCAUAAUUGCUAAUAAAGCAAAAAUUAUAGGAAAUGGUCGAGGACAACAAGACAAGUCGACAUUUGGGCUUCAGGGCCACUGAGCAUACCAUGUACAUAAAUACCCCGUGCCAAAAAACAGUAAAGAUGAAAUAUAAUCUUGAGAACAUAUAGGCUGGAAAAUGCGAAAAAAUAUUCCUCGAAAAUGCUCAAAUGCCACGUGUAAUCGCCGACCAAAAUAAGUUUGGGUCGAUACUCACUUUAUUUAUAGCUGCGGCCCAACUGAAAAUCCUCUUUGGCUUGAAUUUUUGACUCUCCCUUCUCUGUGAAUAGAAUGUUUCUGCAUUUCUUGUAUAAAUGACAGAAUCAAUUUCACUUUCCCCUCUAUGAAAACAGGGUUGCUCCCUCCUCCUUUUUCCGGGCUUGGGACCGGCUAUACAAUUUUAAGUAUUACCUUAAAAUGACAUAGGCGGAGUUCCACCCCCCGAACCCCAACCCACACAAACACACAUUAAAGAUAAUUAAAAAAACUAAUGCCACCAGCCCCAUCCUCGACCCCACAAA